UGUCAGUGACCUACAGGAGAUGCCUCA
rnacentral:piRNA from 1 species